rnacentral:rRNA from 1 species
AGAGUUUGAUCAUGGCUCAGGAUGAACGCUGACAGAAUGCUUAACACAUGCAAGUCAACUUGAAUUUGGGUUUUUAACUUAGAUUUGGGUGGCGGACGGGUGAGUAACGCGUAAAGAACUUGCCUCACAGCUAGGGACAACAUUUAGAAAUGAAUGCUAAUACCUGAUAUUAUGAUUUUAAGGCAUCUUAGAAUUAUGAAAGCUAUAAGCACUGUGAGAGAGCUUUGCGUCCCAUUAGCUAGUUGGAGAGGUAACAGCUCACCAAGGCGAUGAUGGGUAGCCGGCCUGAGAGGGUGAACGGCCACAAGGGGACUGAGACACGGCCCUUACUCCUACGGGAGGCAGCAGUGGGGAAUAUUGGACAAUGGACCGAGAGUCUGAUCCAGCAAUUCUGUGUGCACGAUGAAGUUUUUCGGAAUGUAAAGUGCUUUCAGUUGGGAAGAAAGAAAUGACGGUACCAACAGAAGAAGUGACGGCUAAAUACGUGCCAGCAGCCGCGGUAAUACGUAUGUCACGAGCGUUAUCCGGAUUUAUUGGGCGUAAAGCGCGUCUAGGUGGUUAUGUAAGUCUGAUGUGAAAAUGCAGGGCUCAACUCUGUAUUGCGUUGGAAACUGUAUAACUAGAGUACUGGAGAGGUAAGCGGAA